CUGAUCUUAGCCGAGUGGUUACCUCAACAGAAUUGAAAUCUGUUUCUCUUGGAGAAUGCAGGUCCGAAACCUGCUGAUGACA